rnacentral:rRNA from 1 species
CAGGCCUAACACAUGCAAGUCGAACGGUAACAGGAAACAGCUUGCUGUUUCGCUGACGAGUGGCGGACGGGUGAGUAAUGUCUGGGAAACUGCCUGAUGGAGGGGGAUAACUACUGGAAACGGUAGCUAAUACCGCAUAACGUCGCAAGACCAAAGAGGGGGACCUUCGGGCCUCUUGCCAUCGGAUGUGCCCAGAUGGGAUUAGCUAGUAGGUGGGGUAACGGCUCACCUAGGCGACGAUCCCUAGCUGGUCUGAGAGGAUGACCAGCCACACUGGAACUGAGACACGGUCCAGACUCCUACGGGAGGCAGCAGUGGGGAAUAUUGCACAAUGGGCGCAAGCCUGAUGCAGCCAUGCCGCGUGUAUGAAGAAGGCCUUCGGGUUGUAAAGUACUUUCAGCGGGGAGGAAGGGAGUAAAGUUAAUACCUUUGCUCAUUGACGUUACCCGCAGAAGAAGCACCGGCUAACUCCGUGCCAGCAGCCGCGGUAAUACGGAGGGUGCAAGCGUUAAUCGGAAUUACUGGGCGUAAAGCGCACGCAGGCGGUUUGUUAAGUCAGAUGUGAAAUCCCCGGGCUCAACCUGGGAACUGCAUCUGAUACUGGCAAGCUUGAGUCUCGUAGAGGGGGGUAGAAUUCCAGGUGUAGCGGUGAAAUGCGUAGAGAUCUGGAGGAAUACCGGUGGCGAAG